CUCCUCUCUUAAGACUAGAGUAUCCUCAACAGGCAGCAGUAGUAUAUUAACUGCUUCCUCUCCUCCUCUUCCCUCCAUCUUUUCUUAUCAGACAAGCCUAUGCUCUAGAAUUUCUGAUUCCCUUCUCCAUCAGAAUCCCUGAUAAGCUGUCGUUUUGCUUCUCGAAAACAGGGAAAGAAUCGGACUCUUUCUCUUCAAUGGUGUUUCGCACUGUACCGGAAACUGAGCCAAACACAAACAACAACACUAUCAUGGCUUCUUCUAAUACUACUACUAGUACUGUGAAGCCACACCAGCCGCUCCAUAACUUCCCUUUGCAAGACCUAAAAUGGUCAAUGAACCAUUCCAAUAACGUUACCAACCACCACCACCGCUUUCGCACUCACAAGUCUCCUCACCGCGAUGCUGCUUCUGCGGCGGAUUCAGAGGGAGACGGCGGGGUCAAGAUUGAUAAACUAUUGAAGAAAAAAUCUGGUGAUGUUGAGAAUUCGGAGAGGAAAUCGAAGAUCUUUAUUCGGUUGAGGACUAACAAAAACAGCAGCGGAAGCGGAAGCAGCAGCGGAAGCAGCAAGGGCGUGGUUGGUGAUGUUGCUGCGGGUGCAGUGGAUCAGGGCUCUGCUGCUGUAGUGGAGGACGUGGAGGAACUGAUGCCGAAGACGUGGAAUCUGAGGCCGAGGAGAGCUGUUAAUAAUAUUAAUAAUGAUAGUAAUAAUAAUAACAACAAGGGUUUGAAUGGGAAUGGAGGUGCUUUGAAGAUUUGUGGGGGUGCGGUGCCGGAGAUCAAACCUCAGGUGCCGGGUGGUAACCGGACUGAAUUGACUCGGUCCAACCGGAAUGGUAAUGACGCUAAUAAUUAUGAUAAUGAUAAUGACAAUAAUAAUAAUAACAAGAAGGAGAGGGGUAAGGGGAAGGAAAAGGAAAAGGAGAAGAAGGUGAGGUUUUCGAUUCCUCUUACGAAAGUGGAAAUUGAAGAGGAUAUUUAUUCCUUGACUGGGUCAAAGCCGGCGAGAAGGCCUAAGAAGAGAGCAAAGCAUGUGCAGAAACAACUUGAUUGCUUGUUUCCUGGUAUGUGGCUGGAUUCGAUCACCCCGGAUUGCUAUAAGGUUCAUGAAGCUCCUUCGAAGUUGAGAAUGUAGUUCUCCUGCCCUGCAGGGUUAGAGAAUCGACUGAGAAGUUGGAGGUGAUGACUGUCAGACCUUUUUUAUAUGCCGAAAUCAAUGUAACAAACACAUGAUCCCGUGAAGAUGAAAGGUUGGAUCUGACUGAAUGCUGAUUGGAUUGCUUCUGAGAUCGACGUGAAGAGUUUGUGUGGAGGAAGAGUGGUAAUGAUCGUCGUCUUAUUGAUUAUAAACUCGAGUUUAUUCCCCCAACAUGUUUUCUUUUCCUGCAUUUCGAAGGCUUGAUUUUUGAAAAUUCUUUGUACUGCGAGUCUAUAAACUGUUAUAUGAGUCUGGCUCUGCUUUUUGUUAUUGGAUCGUGCAUGUGGUGGUGUCUUUUCAGGCACAAGCUCGCUACAUGUAAAAUGUUUCAGUUGUCGUAGGUCCUGUUAGAAUUGUUAGGUAUUGUUUACAUGUUAUCUACAGAAGAUGUAAUGUAGCAGACUAGCUGUGGAAAGAGAGGCGAACACAGUUUUAGGUCCAGUUCAUAACAGUGAAUGCAUUGAAUAGUUCGCUUUUAAUAUUCCAAAGCCUGCUGAUGUCUCUCAGGGGUGCAGCCCAGGUUCUUGCCAAACAAGUGAUGGGGCCUGAGCUGCUGCUUUGUGCCUCCCGCAGCAGACUACAGACGGGGACAGUGCUACCCAGACUUGUGCCCUUGUUGAUUGGUUGUUUACCGUUGUAUUUAUUGGAAAGUUGGAUGCUGUAAUCAGUGGCUGGAAGAUUAAAACAUGGAGAUAGACAUCCAUCCGAAGCGGGCGCCUGCCGUAUUGAUCAUAUUGUGUGCCUUCUAAGCUCAAGGAUCUGUCUUUGUUUGAAAUUACUUGUAUAUGAACGCAAUUCCUUUCAACUCCAGAUGGCAUUUUUGACAUUUUCAGUCUUUUAAACAUUUUGAGUCCCUUUAUUUGA